rnacentral:rRNA from 1 species
AUGAAUCAAUCAAUCAUCCCCCACGACCCUCAAUCAAAAAAAAAAAUUAUCACCCCCCUGACUGGGAGGCAGGGGAAAAUGGCGGCCACCUCCCCUUCGGCGGCGCCGCCCGCCACCGCCGGCGACUGCCCCCACCCGACCUACACCGAGGCGCUCACCGAGCUGGGAGGCACCUCCGGCCGCAUCGCCAUCGCCGCCUUCAUCCUCAGCCGCUUCACGGGCCUCCCCGCCACCCACGACAAGCUCCUCAAAGCCAACCUCCGCCGCCUCGUCUCCGAAGGCGUCGUCCGCGGCUACGGGUCAAAAUCGAGAUCUUGCUACGUCUUCCCCGCCUCCGACACGCGCGGUCGUGGCCGGCCCUCCAAGCCCAACAAUAAGGAUUUGUCGGAUCUCGAUUUGGAGGAUGACACAACCGCAACUCCCCUCCCCAAGAAUCUCAAUUUACAUGAAUCCAGUGAGAUGAUUUGGCCGGCCCGGCAACGACGCAACUCCGGCUCCGGCUCCGGCUCCCAGCCCCAGCAGAAUUAUUCCGAUCCCGGUUUGGAUGGAUUCCAGAGUAACAGCAGCAGUGGCGAGGAUGACGUUGAUGAUGAUGAAUACACUCCACACAAGCGAGGCACUGGGAGACCAAGGAAGAUACUGAGAGGGCGUGGGAGGCCGAGAAAGGACGAGCAACAAUCACAAUCACAAGCAAAACAUCCUCCAACUCCAACUGCAACUGCGUCGUCAACCGGUGGCAUGCAACAAUCAGAAGCAGAAGCAGCAGCAGCAGAGCCUCGUAAGGUUGCCCUCUCUGCGAAUGGAGAUGCUGCCUCCCCAUCGACCAAGAGUGGCCGUGGGAGGCCAAGGAAGAUACCGGGAGGGCGUGGGAGGCCGAGAAAGGACGAGCAGCAAUCACUAGCAAAGCAUUCUCCAACUGCAGCUGCGUCAACUGGUAAAGCAGCAGCAGCAGCAGAGCAUCCUCCAACUCCAUUGUCAACUGAUGGUAUCAAGAGAGGGCGUGGGAGGCCGAGAAAGGAGGCCGACAAAGGAGGAUCAACAAAGGCCGGUCCUCCUGCUCCUGCUGCAUCGGCAGGAGUCAAGAGAUCGCGUGGGAGGCCAAGAGUGUACAGACCAAUGCCCGUCAAAACUGGAGAUGAACUUGAGAAUCCAGUAUCAGUUGAUGUCGCACUUGAGAAUCCAAGAAUGCACAGGCCAUCAUCAGCUGAUAUUGUGUCCAUGGUCAUGAAGAGAGGAAUACCUGCUAAGGCUCGAGAUGCAAGGCCUGCUGAAGCUGGAGAUGCAAUACCUGCUAAAGCUAGAUAUGCAAGGCCUGCUGAAGCUGGAGAUGCAACGCCUGCUGAAGAAACUGGAGGUGCUGCGUCGACGGGAAUCAAGAGACCACGUGGGAGGCCAAGAAAGGAGAAGCCAGCAGCAGCAAUGUCUGCUCAAGCUGGGGAUGCUGUGUCGGCCGGGAUCAAGAGAGGGCGUGGGAGGCCAAGAAAAAAAUGA